rnacentral:rRNA from 1 species
UACGGGGGGGGUAAGCGUUGUUCGGAAUUACUGGGCGUAAAGGGCCAGUAGGCGGCCAACUAAGUCCGACGUGAAAUCCCCAAGCUUAACUUGGGAACUGCGUCGGAUACUGGAUGGCUUGAAUUCGGGAGAGGGAUGCAGAAUUCCAGGUGUAGCGGUGAAAUGCGUAGAUAUCUGGAGGAAUACCGGUGGCGAAGGCGGCAUCCUGGACCGACAUUGACGCUGAACGGCGAAAGCUAGGGGAGCAAACGGG